AAGGCAUCGAUUUACAAAGGCGUGUGCCCGGGAGCUCCGUCUUGGGGCUCCUAAAUUCUGCCUGGCAGCCCGGAGCGGGUGUGCUCUGGGGCAGAACCGGGGUGAAGCGGAAAGCCCCCAAGCACCUGUGCCCCCACGGGCCCCCUGCGCUAUCCUCAGGACGGACCCCACCCACGACCGGACUGGGCCAGAGCAGCCCGUGCUCUGUCGCCACCGUGCGGCCCGAACGGCACAUGACGCCUCAACGGCCGCGGGGACCGGCGUUGGGCUUGAAUUGAGAGAGGUUGAGAUUUGCCGGUGGAGAAAAUCUGACCUAUUUACAUGUAUCAAUUGGGAGCUGAAAACCAUUUUCAACCACUUCAGGCAGGAGAUGACGGCCGACGUCAAUCCUAAUCAAUCCUACGGACAGCAUGGAACCUCGAACACAGUUUUGGUUCCGAACGCGUGUUGGAAAUCGUCUUGGGGAUACACCCAGGGGUGGGCUUCCUGGGCCAUACGGGUAAUCCUGUGUUUAACUUACGGAGGAACCAGCAGCGGGGUUUUUGUGAUUGAAGCCUUUACUGAGGCCACUGCAGAGUCACCUGCGGUUGUGACAAAUGCCGCUGAGAAACUCCCUGGUGCACUUGGCCCGGUUCUCCCUGAUGGUCACAUUUUACAAAUCGAUAGUAUCUCCACCCGGGUAUUGUCGCUGAUACAAUCACCUCCCUUAUUUCAAUUCACUUG